rnacentral:tRNA from 1 species
GGGGUGGUGGUGCAGUUGGCUAGCGCUUAGGUCUCAUAGCUAUUGAGUGAUCCUGAGGACUAGAGUUCGAGCCCCUCUCGCCCCA